GAACACACACAAGUGUGUGUGAGAGAAGCAGCCUAAAUCGUUGUUUUUUAAGAAAGAGAAACACAAAAAACACACACACAAGUGUGUGAGAGAAAGAGAAACAAGAUUCUCCAUCGUCUUUAUCAAGAACACCAAGAUGUGUGAGAGAGAAGCAGGCCUGAAAUCAUUCGGUUUCAUGAGUUUUUAGAGAGAGAAAGUUGUUGGAAAACCAAAACCAAGAACACACACAAGUUUGAAAGAGAGAAGCAGGUCAGAAAUUCAUUUGGUUGCAUACGUUUUUAAAGAGAGAAAGUUGUUAGAACACCAAGAACACACACGUAUGAGAGAGAAGCAGAUUUGAAGAUGAACAUGAGAGAGAAGCAGAUUUGAAGAUGAACAUGAGAGAGAAGCAGAUUUAGAGAGAGGAACAACAAUCUUAAUCGUGUUCGUCUAGAACACCAAGAACACACGCACAAAGUGGUCUAGUAAUGAUAAAAACUCAAAAUUUGGGGAGUCUUCAAGUUCAGGGCAUAAUUGGGUAGAAGCAGUUGCAGCCAAACGAGAAGGGAUCUUGGUAGGAAGAAAGAUAACCACAAUAUCGGAUGCGACAAAAGGUGGCCAUAAAGCGAAAGAAGGUAUAUGGAGAAACCGAUGAAGAAUGGGAACAAGAAGUCAAUGAAGGGCAGGUGGUGGGUACCUUUGACGUUGCACAGAAGUUACCCUCUAGUGUAACACAUGUUACAAACAUGUGUUACAUAUGUUCAACCCUUUUGUUACCAAAAAA